rnacentral:lncRNA from 1 species
CGUGACCAAAAAUGACCUUAAACUUUUUUUAAAAAAAACGAUGCAUGUAUGUGUCUAUGUAUGUAUGCAUAUGUUGAUGUGUGGGUUCACCCAUGCCACCGUGCUCAAGGAGAAGUCAGAGGACAGCUUGCAGGACUCAGUUUUCUCUCUCUCCACUUUGUGGGUCCUGGGACCAAACUCACGUCUUCUGCUUGGCAGCCAGCACAGCUUUGUUUCAUUUUGUCUUGUUUUGUUCUUGCUCAUUUGUGUGAGGCAAGUUCUCUCUAUGUAGCCCAGGCUGGCCUCAAACUCUCAGAAAUUCUCUUGUCUCGGUCCCCAGCAUGAUAGCAUUAAAAUUCUGUGCCCCGCCCAUGAAGUGUUUUUCUUUUUUUUUCUUUUUUUUUUUUUCCGAGAUAGGGUUUCUCUGUGUAGCUUUGGAGGCUGUCCUGGAACUAGCUCUUGUAGACCAGGUUGGCCUCAAACUCUUAGAGAUCUGCCUGCCUCUGCCUCCCGAGUGCUGGGAUUAAAGGCGUGUGCCACCAACGCCCGGAUGACACCCUUGUUUUCCAGGGAGACAAGUUUUAGUGAAGAGGUUCAUGAUGGUCCCCGGCAAGGGCAGAAGGCAGAAGGACUCAACCUCCCCCAGGGACCCCAAGGCUCUUCGGAAGAGGAAGGACAGGCCAGACACCACAGAGGAUGGGGACUGACUCAGAGGCGGUUCCCAGAGGUCUCCUGAGCCAGCCCAGCCAGCUCCGCAUGGGGAGAACGAAGAACUAAUGAGACCCGGGCAAUGAGAGCCCUAGGACGGUCGACUGGGAGGAAGCAGGCACUUCCUCAGGCGUGUACCCCCACACACCUCUUGACCUGCAUCUGACCCCAGCUAGAUCUUGGUCCCCAAAGCUGACCUCACACAGCUGAGGAUGGCAGGAAAGAGCAGGGGUGACCAGAGACAGUGCCGUUAAGAGAUGUAAAGCUAAUGAGAUUAAUUAAUCCAGUGCUUCUGGUGUCUGGUGACUUUAGGACCAGCCUUGUCUCCCUGCCCCCACUUCAGGUUCCUGGCUCCUCCCAGUUUCUGCCACCCCUCCCUCCCCAAGUCUCCUGGCUUCCCUCCUGCCGUCCGGGCCCCAGAGCUUUCUCAACAGUCGCCGAGCCAAGUCCAGCUACGUGUAGGGGGAAGGUUCAGACCACACACAUUCCAGUCGGGAAGGGCCCUAUAGCCCAAUAGUCUAGAGCAGGGGUUCUCAACAGUUCAUGUUGUGGUCACCCCCCAACCAUGAAAUUACUUUUGUUUCUACUGCAUAACUGUAAUGUUGCUGCUGUUACGAAUCAUAAUGUAAAUAUCGGUAUUUUCCAGUGGCCCCCCAAAGGUUUGAGACCCACAAGUUAAGACCCACUGGUCUAGGCUUCCUUCCUCGAAGGGCUGCAAGACUGACUCAGGGACGGACGUGAGGGCCUGGUGGAGUCUACUCUAACCCCAGCCUUUGUGAGGCUGAGGAGGCAGAAGGUGUGAGUGCUCUGAGUUCAAGGCCAACUGGGGCUACACCGUGAGAAACUGUUAAAAAAAAAUAGCUGAGCAGCAAUGGCGCACCCCUUUAUUCCCAGCACUCGGGAGGCAGAGGCAGGUGGAUCUCUGAGUUCGAAGCCUGCCUGGUCUACAAAGGGAAUUCCAGGACAGCCAGAGAAACCCUGUCUUAGAAAACCAAAAGAAAAAGAAAAGGCAAGUAUAACGGGGUUUACCUGUAAUCACGGCACCAGAGAAGCCCAGCAAGCAAGAGGAGUACUGGGGGCUGGGGGCCCCAAAACAACAAGCUGGAUCCUUCCUUAGGCGGAAAAUCCUUGCUCCCCCAUCUGUAACCCCAGAACUCAGGAGGCAGAAGCAAAAGGAUCCACAGGAGUUGUCUUGUCAGCUUGGACUACAGAGAGAGCUCAGACCAGCCAGGGCCACACUGUAAAGAAGCUCAGAGUGGGGGCCCAGGGGACCCUAAUCCGAUGCAAAUGUAGAGAGAGCACUUACCAGGCUCACACAAGACCUCCUGGGGAGGAAAGCCCAGUGAGCCACUUCAGGAGACUGAGAGUCCAGUCUCCACCAGCCAAGAUGACAGACUCUGAGAUGGGGGCCGGGUCUGAGGGAGUCUGAGGAGGGAAUGGUGAAUUUUGAAUUCAGUGACCACAUGGCCAACUAACCAAAGCCAUCCUCCUCCUGAGAGGGAGAGAGGCUCCUAAGAAACAGGAAACUUCCAAGCACAGGAAGCUCAGAAAAUCACUGAAUCCACAAGGCCCCCUCUACAGCGAUACAAGCUGCAAACAGUUGCUAGAGGGGAGAAGACCCCCCCCCCUUCAGUGGAGCCGCCUGCACAUCGGAUGGGAGCUCUAGGGACGCAGCUUUCCUGAGUCAUCAACCCGUACCAGGGUUCCCCAAAUUCUAUCAAGUCUGUAUCCCAGCCCAGAUGAUCCCCUCCUCCUAGCUCUCUCAAGUCUCUCACCUCAGCUCUGCCCAAUGGAGGAGACCAGCAUCUAGAUUCCCCAGAACCAAGGCUCUCUCUGCCUAUAGUCACAUCCCCAGCUUUGCCUGUGACAGGACCGAUCACAGAGCAGGGAUCCAGGGAUGGUUUGGAAGAGUGAAUGAGUCGGUGAGUA